rnacentral:rRNA from 1 species
UACGUAGGCAGCAAGCGUUGUUCGGAGUUACUGGGCGUAAAGGGUGUGUAGGCGGUUUUUUAAGUUUGGUGUGAAAUCGCUCGGCUCAACUGGGCGGGGUCAGCGGAUACGGUCUCACUUGAGCAAGCUAGGGGGCAAUGGAAUUCCCGGUGUAGUGGUGGAAUGCGUAGAUAUCGGGAGGAACACCAGUGGCGAAGGCGGUUGCCUGGGGCUUUGCUGACGCUGAUGCGCGAAAGCGUGGGGAGCGAUCCGG